CUUAAUAUAUGAUAGCAGUGGAAGCAACAAAACUCAGUGAAGAAAAGGGUAUGAAAAAGAUCCCAUUUUGGAACUAAAGAAAGAGGAAUCAGGGGGAAAGUUUUGAAGAGAUCUGUCAUGGUGGGAAUCUGCAAUGAAGGGGGAAUCUCAGCCUUCCCACUCAAGGAGGUUUAUUCUGUUGGAAGGGCCUCUUAAAAUAAAUCUUGAAGGUUAGGCUGCACAUGGGUAAUCUGAGUUGGAGAGCUGCUUAUAAGGAAGACUCUAGAGUGGAGAGGAUCCUACAGCCAAGGUCAAAGUAAGAAGGGCGUUACACAAGUCAGCCUGGAGCAGCUUGGCCAGGUUAUCAGGUUUUUCCCCAGGAAACCAAAAGCUCUUUGGGCAUCAGGACAGCAGAGCAUGUAGUGAAAUCAUAGAUGGGUGUGAGAUAAGAGCUACUGAUGAGGAAGGUGCCAGGGUAAAUGCAUAUUGCUGAGCUUCACAGGGCACUGGUAUAAUGCUGGUACUAGUGAACGCAUUCUUCGUGGGUGCCUACCCUCUAGGAUCCAGGCUGACACAUGGCCUUUCCUGAAGGCCUAUGAGAAGGCCAGUCCCACUUUCCACUCAGAA